rnacentral:rRNA from 1 species
AUUGAACGCUGGCGGCAGGCCUAACACAUGCAAGUCGAGCGAGCGGCGGACGGGUGAGUAAUGUCUGGGAAACUGCCUGAUGGAGGGGGAUAAAUACUGGAAACGGUAGCUAAUACCGCAUACCAUCAGAUGUGCCCAGAUGGGAUUAGCUGGUAGGUGGGGUAAUGGCUCACCUAGGCGACGAUCCCUAGCUGGUCUGAGAGGAUGACCAGCCACACUGGAACUGAGACACGGUCCAGACUCCUACGGGAGGCAGCAGUGGGGAAUAUUGCACAAUGGGCGAAAGCCUGACGCAGCCAUGCCGCGUGUGUGAAGAAGGCCUUCGGGUUGUAAAGUUCUUUCAGCGGGGAAGCGUUACCCGCAGAGAAAGCACCGGCUAACUACGUGCCAGCAGCCGCGGUAAUAC